rnacentral:ribozyme from 1 species
UCAUAGCAUUUCUUCCAUUCAAUACUUUCAAUACAUUUUUUGCAUUUCUUUUAGGAAAUAUUGGGGGGUUUUGGUUGUCACAAAACAGCGUGGGUGGGAAAACGAUCGGGUGAUUCUUAUUGCCGCGUGUAGAGGGGAGAAAAGGUGGCUAAAGGGGAAAGCAGGGGAAAUAAUUCGAUUGGGGGAUCUUAUUUUCUUAGAAUUUUUCAACCGGAAAGAAAGAGAGGA